rnacentral:lncRNA from 1 species
AUUUAAAAUGACUUAUUUAAAGUAUAUGUAAACGAAUAAUGGUGCAUGAUUUUAUCUCUUAUGUGAGCAUGUUGAUUUCUAAAUGAUAUUAAGUUAAGGAUUUUGACUUCUUUUAUCUUGUUGUUAUGUGAUUAGACGAGGUGUGUUGGUUUUUGACUGUCUUUAAUGGAACGAAUUAUGGAUGCUAGAACCCUAAAACUUUAAAAGAUACCCUAGGCACGUAGAAUUAGACUUUGUCUUAUGACAAUUUCUUCACGAACUUAUCGACUCUUCAUCAAUGAAGGUCCGGGCGACAAAAAGUGAAGCCGAAGAAGAAACGACUCCACG